CUACGUAUGGAAUUGAUAAGUACUGAAAGCAUCUAAGUACGAAGCAGGCCUCAAGAUAAGAUUUCUAAGAGUAGGUAAAGAAAAUACCUUUGAUAGGUCUAAGGUGUAAGUGCAGUAAUGUAUUAAGCUAAUGGAUACUAAACUUUAAAUCUUGACUGG
rnacentral:rRNA from 1 species